rnacentral:rRNA from 1 species
GACGAACGCUGGCGGCGUGCCUAAUACAUGCAAGUCGAACGCAGUGGGGACGGGUGAGUAACACGUGGGUAACCUCCCAUCAGAGGGGAUAACACUUGGAAACAGGUGCUAAACCGAUACUGAUGGAUGGACCCGCGGUGCAUGAGCUAGUUGGUGAGGUAAAGCCUCACCUAGGCGACGAUGCCUAGCUGGUCUGAGAGGAUGACCAGCAACACUGGAACUGGGACACGGUCCAGACUCCUACGGGAGGCAGCAGUAGGGAAUCUUGGACAAUGGACGAAAGUCUGACCAAGCAACGCCGCGUGAGUGAAGAAGGUUUUCGGGUCGUAAAGCACUGUUGUUGGAGAAGCGGUAUCUAACCAGAAAGCCACGGCUAACUACGUGCCAGCAGCCGCGGUAAUUC